GUGACUGCGUACCUUUUGUAUAAUGGGUCAGCGACUUAUAUUCUGUAGCAAGGUUAACCGAAUAGGGGAGCCGGAGGGAAACCGAGUCUUAACCGGGCGUUAAGUUGCAGGGUAUAGACCCGAAACCCGGUGAUCUAGCCAUGGGCAGGUUGAAGGUUGGGUAACACUAACUGGAGGACCGAACCGACUAAUGUUGAAAAAUUAGCGGAUGACCUGUGGCUGGGGGUGAAAGGCCAAUCAAACCGGGAGAUAGCUGGUUCUCCCCGAAAGCUAUUUAGGUAGCGCCUCGUGAAUUCAUCUCCGGGGGUAGAGCACUGUUUCGGCUAGGGGGCCAUCCCGGCUUACCAACCCGAUGCAAACUGCGAAUACCGGAGAAUGUUAUCACGGGAGACACACGGCGGGUGCUAACGUCCGUCGUGAAGAGGGAAACAACCCAGACCGCCAGCUAAGGUCCCAAAGUCAUGGUUAAGUGGGAAACGAUGUGGGAAGGCCCAGACAGCCAGGAUGUUGGCUUAGAAGCAGCCAUCAUUUAAAGAAAGCGUAAUAGCUCACUGGUCGAGUCGGCCUGCGCGGAAGAUGUAACGGGGCUAAACCAUGCACCGAAGCUGCGGCAGCGACGCUUAUGCGUUGUUGGGUAGGGGAGCGUUCUGUAAGCCUGUGAAGGUGGCCUGUGAGGGUUGCUGGAGGUAUCAGAAGUGCGAAUGCUGACAUAAGUAACGAUAAAGNACGUAUCACCCAAGACAACUUUACGGAGUUGACGAUUGACGGAGCGAAGCGACGUCAAAGCGUUCAUUAAAGUCGAGUUGGCUUAGGGAUACGUUCGUUGGGUAGGGGAGCGUUCUGUAAGCCUGCGAAGGUGGCCUGUGAGGGUUGCUGGAGGUAUCAGAAGUGCGAAUGCUGACAUNCGCUUAUGCGUUGUUGGGUAGGGGAGCGUUCUGUAAGCCUGUGAAGGUGGCCUGUGAGGGUUGCUGGAGGUAUCAGAAGUGCGAAUGCUGACAUAAGUAACGAUAAAGCGGGUGAAAAGCCCGCUCGCCGGAAGACCAAGGGUUCCUGUCCAACGUUAAUCGGGGCAGGGUGAGUCGACCCCUAAGGCGAGGCCGAAAGGCGUAGUCGAUGGGAAACGGGUUAAUAUUCCCGUACUUGGUGUUACUGCGAAGGGGGGACGGAGAAGGCUAUGUUGGCCGGGCGACGGUUGUCCCGGUUUAAGCGUGUAGGUGUGUGUUCCAGGUAAAUCCGGUUCACUUUAACACUGAGGCGUGACGACGAGGCACUACGGUGCUGAAGCAACAAAUGCCCUGCUUCCAGGAAAAGCCUCUAAGCAUCAGGUAACAUCAAAUCGUACCCCAAACCGACACAGGUGGUCAGGUAGAGAAUACCAAGGCGCUUGAGAGAACUCGGGUGAAGGAACUAGGCAAAAUGGUGCCGUAACUUCGGGAGAAGGCACGCUGAUAUGUAGGUGAAGCGGUUUACCCGUGGAGCUGAAAUCAGUCGAAGAUACCAGCUGGCUGCAACUGUUUAUUAAAAACACAGCACUGUGCAAACACGAAAGUGGACGUAUACGGUGUGACGCCUGCCCGGUGCCGGAAGGUUAAUUGAUGGGGUCAGCGCAAGCGAAGCUCCUGAUCGAAGCCCCGGUAAACGGCGGCCGUAACUAUAACGGUCCUAAGGUAGCGAAAUUCCUUGUCGGGUAAGUUCCGNGACGCCUGCCCGGUGCCGGAAGGUUAAUUGAUGGGGUCAGCGCAAGCGAAGCUCCUGAUCGAAGCCCCGGUAAACGGCGGCCGUAACUAUAACGGUCCUAAGGUAGCGAAAUUCCUUGUCGGGUAAGUUCCGACCUGCACGAAUGGCGUAAUGAUGGCCAGGCUGUCUCCACCCGAGACUCAGUGAAAUUGAACUCGCUGUGAAGAUGCAGUGUACCCGCGGCAAGACGGAAAGACCCCGUGAACCUUUACUAUAGCUUGACACUGAACAUUGAGCCUUGAUGUGUAGGAUAGGUGGGAGGCUUUGAAGCGUGGACGCCAGUCUGCGUGGAGCCGACCUUGAAAUACCACCCUUUAAUGUUUGAUGUUCUAACGUGGACCCGU
rnacentral:rRNA from 1 species